GACGAACGCUGGCGGCGUGCUUAACACAUGCAAGUCGAACGGAAAGGCCCUGCUUUUGUGGGGUGCUCGAGUGGCGAACGGGUGAGUAACACGUGAGUAACCUGCCCUUGACUUUGGGAUAACUUCAGGAAACUGGGGCUAAUACCGGAUAGGAGCUCCUGCUGCAUAGUGGGGGUUGGAAAGUUUCGGCGGUUGGGGAUGGACUCGCGGCUUAUCAGCUUGUUGGUGGGGUAGUGGCUUACCAAGGCUUUGACGGGUAGCCGGCCUGAGAGGGUGACCGGCCACAUUGGGACUGAGAUGCGGCCCAGACUCCUACGGGAGGCAGCAGUGGGGAAUAUUGCACAAUGGGCGGAAGCCUGAUGCAGCAACGCCGCGUGCGGGAUGACGGCCUUCGGGUUGUAAACCGCUUUCGCCUGUGACGAAGCGUGAGUGACGGUAAUGGGUAAAGAAGCACCGGCUAACUACGUG
rnacentral:rRNA from 1 species